CUCUGUCGCUCCCCCUCUUCGUGGAGGAACGACACUAAGCCCUGCCUAGGCUUCAUAUCCGAGUCACGGCACCAUUAUGUCACUCCCCCUCUUCGUGGAGGAAUGACACAGGACCCUGCGCUGUUCUUUCGUCUGCUCGGCCCUCCCCGGGUUUGCUGCUGGUUCUUCCCGGGUUGGCUACUAUCCCUUCCACCUCCGUGGAAGGGCGGUUCCCCCUGGCCGCUUUCCCCACUUCCGCAGGGGAGCGGCACACCGCCGGCCGGCUUUCUCGGGGGCUGCACAGGUGUUCCUUCAGAUAGAUGUUCCCCUUAGAUGUUCCUGGUGCAUGCCGUCUCUCUCCUCCUUUAUAGUCCUCCUCUGCCAAUCCCAACUCGGCUGCCCACACGCCGAGUACGCUGCUCUCCUCCAAUCAGGAGCAGUAUCAGCUCCUGCAGGUCAUCACUCAAGUUGGCAAGAGGCAGCUGCGUAGAAGCUGUUUUCUCCUCUCCCAGCGCCAUAUUGUGGGAGAGCAGAUGCAUAGAAUAAGUCUUAAUUCCAGUAACAGUCUAGUCCGAGUUGCUCCCC